ACGCUGGCGGUAGGCCUAACACAUGCAAGUCGAACGGCAGCACAGUAAGAGCUUGCUCUUACGGGUGGCGAGUGGCGGACGGGUGAGGAAUACAUCGGAAUCUACUUUUUCGUGGGGGAUAACGUAGGGAAACUUACGCUAAUACCGCAUACGACCUACGGGUGAAAGCAGGGGAUCUUCGGACCUUGCGCGAUUGAAUGAGCCGAUGUCGGAUUAGCUAGUUGGCGGGGUAAAGGCCCACCAAGGCGACGAUCCGUAGCUGGUCUGAGAGGAUGAUCAGCCACACUGGAACUGAGACACGGUCCAGACUCCUACGGGAGGCAGCAGUGGGGAAUAUUGGACAAUGGGCGCAAGCCUGAUCCAGCCAUACCGCGUGGGUGAAGAAGGCCUUCGGGUUGUAAAGCCCUUUUGUUGGGAAGGAAAAGCAGCAGGUUAAUACCCCGCUGUUCUGACGGUACCCAAAGAAUAAGCACCGGCUAACUUCGUG
rnacentral:rRNA from 1 species